rnacentral:rRNA from 1 species
UUAAGGGCGCACGGUGGAUGCCUUGGCACCAGGAACCGAUGAAGGACGUGGGAGGCCACGAUAGGCCCCGGGGAGCUGUCAACCGAGCUUUGAUCCGGGGGUGUCCGAAUGGGGAAACCCGGCAGUCGUCAUGGGCUGUCACCCGCUGCUGAACACAUAGGCAGUGUGGAGGGAACGCGGGGAAGUGAAACAUCUCAGUACCCGCAGGAAGAGAAAACAACCGUGAUUCCGGGAGUAGUGGCGAGCGAAACUGGAUGAGGCCAAACCAGUCACGUGUGAUACCCGGCAGGGGUUGCGUGGUUGGGGUUGUGGGAUCUCUCUUUUGCAGUCUGCCGGCUGUGAGGCGAGUCAGAAACCGUUGAUGUAGGCGAAGGACAUGCGAAAGGUCCGGCGUAGAGGGUAAGACCCCGUAGCUGAAACAUUAGCGGCUCGUUUGAGAGACACCCAAGUAGCACGGGGCCCGAGAAAUCCCGUGUGAAUCUGGCGGGACCACCCGUUAAGCCUAAAUAUUCCCUGGUGACCGAUAGCGGAUAGUACCGUGAGGGAAUGGUGAAAAGUACCGCGGGAGCGGAGUGAAAUAGUACCUGAAACCGUGUGCCUACAAGCCGUGGGAGCGUCGCGCAGAGAACUUGUUCUUUGCGUCGUGACUGCGUGCCUUUUGAAGAAUGAGCCUGCGAGUUUGCGGUAUGUUGCGAGGUUAACCCGUGUGGGGAAGCCGUAGCGAAAGCGAGUCCGAAUAGGGCGUGGAGUAGCAUGCUCAAGACCCGAAGCGGAGUGAUCUAGCCAUGGGCAGGUUGAAGCGGAGGUAAGACUUCGUGGAGGACCGAACCCACCAGGGUUGAAAACCUGGGGGAUGACCUGUGGUUAGGGGUGAAAGGCCAAUCAAACUCCGUGAUAGCUGGUUCUCCCCGAAAUGCAUUUAGGUGCAGCGUCGUGUGUUUCUUGCCGGAGGUAGAGCACUGGAUAGGCGAUGGGCCCUACCGGGUUACUGACCUUAGCCAAACUCCGAAUGCCGGUAAGUGAGAGCGCGGCAGUGAGACUGUGGGGGAUAAGCUCCAUGGUCGAGAGGGAAACAGCCCAGAGCAUCGACUAAGGCCCUAAGCGUGUGCUAAGUGGGAAAGGAUGUGGAGUCGCAGAGACAACCAGGAGGUUGGCUUAGAAGCAGCCACCCUUGAAAGAGUGCGUAAUAGCUCACUGGUCAAGUGAUUCCGCGCCGACAAUGUAGCGGGGCUCAAGUACACCGCCGAAGUCGUGUCAUUGCGAUAUUACUCCUAACGGGGAUCGUGAUGGGUAGGGGAGCGUCGUGUGCCGGGUGAAGCAGCCGUGGAAACGAGUUGUGGACGGUUCACGAGUGAGAAUGCAGGCAUGAGUAGCGAUACAAGAGUGGGAAACUCUUGCGCCGAUUGACUAAGGGUUCCUGGGUCAAGCUGAUCUGCCCAGGGUAAGUCGGGACCUAAGGCGAGGCCGACAGGCGUAGUCGAUGGACAACCGGUUGAUAUUCCGGUACCCGCUUUGAAGCGCCCAAUACUGAAUCAGGCGAUGCUAAGUCCGUGAAGCCGCCCUGGAGCCUUCGGGUGAAGGGGAGUGGUGGAGCCGACGGACCAGACUUGUAGUAGGUAAGCGAUGGGGUGACGCAGGAAGGUAGUCCAGCCCGGGCGGUGGUUGUCCCGGGGUAAGGGUGUAGGCCGUGUGGUAGGUAAAUCCGUCGCACGUUAAGGCUGAGACCUGAUGCCGAGCCGAUUGUGGUGAAGUGGAUGAUCCUAUGCUGUCGAGAAAAGCCUCUAGUGAGUUUCAAGGCGGCCCGUACCCUAAACCGACUCAGGUGGUCAGGUAGAGAAUACCGAGGCGUUCGGGUGAACUAUGGUUAAGGAACUCGGCAAAAUGCCCCCGUAACUUCGGGAGAAGGGGGGCCAUUUCUGGUGAGGGAACUUGCUUCCUGAGCUGGGGGUGGCCGCAGAGACCAGCGAGAAGCGACUGUUUACUAAAAACACAGGUCCGUGCGAAGCCGUAAGGCGAUGUAUACGGACUGACGCCUGCCCGGUGCUGGAACGUUAAGGGGACCGGUUAGCUUGGAUUCGUUCAGGCGAAGCUGAGAACUUAAGCGCCAGUAAACGGCGGUGGUAACUAUAACCAUCCUAAGGUAGCGAAAUUCCUUGUCGGGUAAGUUCCGACCUGCACGAAUGGCGUAACGACUUCUCGACUGUCUCAACCAUAGGCCCGGUGAAAUUGCAUUACGAGUAAAGAUGCUCGUUUCGCGCAGCAGGACGGAAAGACCCCGGGACCUUUACUAUAGCUUGAUAUUGGUGUUCGGUUCGGCUUGUGUAGGAUAGGUGGGAGACUGUGAAGCGCCAACGCCAGUUGGUGUGGAGUCGUUGUUGAAAUACCACUCUGGUCGUGCUGGAUGUCUAACCUGGGUCCGUGAUCCGGAUCAGGGACAGUGUCUGGUGGGUAGUUUAACUGGGGCGGUUGCCUCCUAAAGAGUAACGGAGGCGCCCAAAGGUUCCCUCAGCCUGGUUGGUAAUCAGGUGUUGAGUGUAAGUGCACAAGGGAGCUUGACUGUGAGACUGACGGGUCGAGCAGGUACGAAAGUAGGGACUAGUGAUCCGGCGGUGGCUUGUGGAAGCGCCGUCGCUCAACGGAUAAAAGGUACCCCGGGGAUAACAGGCUGAUCUUCCCCAAGAGUCCAUAUCGACGGGAUGGUUUGGCACCUCGAUGUCGGCUCGUCGCAUCCUGGGGCUGGAGUCGGUCCCAAGGGUUGGGCUGUUCGCCCAUUAAAGCGGUACGCGAGCUGGGUUUAGAACGUCGUGAGACAGUUCGGUCCCUAUCCGCUGUGCGCGUAGGAGUCUUGAGAAGGGCUGUCCCUAGUACGAGAGGACCGGGACGGACGAACCUCUGGUGUGCCAGUUGUUCUGCCAAGGGCAUGGCUGGUUGGCUACGUUCGGAAAGGAUAACCGCUGAAAGCAUCUAAGCGGGAAGCCUGCUUCGAGAUGAGGGCUCCCUCCUCCUUGAGAGGGUAAGGCUCCCAGUAGACGACUGGGUUGAUAGGCCAGAUAUGGAAGCACUGUAAGGUGUGGAGUUGACUGGUACUAAUAGGCCGAGGGCUUGUCCU